GUGGAAGUCUGACAGGUGGACAUUACACUGCAACAGUCAAGUCCCAGGAUGAUGAGCAAUGGUUUCAAUUCAACGACACUGCUGUCUCACCACUUGAUCACCAGCCACUCCAGGUGGACAGCAGUCAGACGGCUUAUCUUCUGUUCUACAAGAGAAA